rnacentral:rRNA from 1 species
UACGUAGGUGGCAAGCGUUGUCCGGAAUUAUUGGGCGUAAAGCGCGCGCAGGUGGUUUCUUAAGUCUGAUGUGAAAGCCCACGGCUCAACCGUGGAGGGUCAUUGGAAACUGGGGAACUUGAGUGCAGAAGAGGAAAGUGGAAUUCCAAGUGUAGCGGUGAAAUGCGUAGAGAUUUGGAGGAACACCAGUGGCGAAGGCGGAACUUUCUGGUCUGUAACUGACACUGAGGCGCGAAAGCGUGGGGAGCGAACAGG